GCGCAGUCAUAACGCGUUGAAAGUUUGACCGCCUUGGGGAAGCUACGGUCGCAAGAUUAAAACNUCAAAGGAAUUGACGGGGACCCGCACAAGCGGUGGAUGAUGUGGAUUAAUUCGAUGCAACGCGAAAAACCUUACCUACCCUUGACAUGUCUGGAAUGCCGAAGAGAUUUGGCAGUGCUCGCAAGAGAACCGGAACACAGGUGCUGCAUGGCUGUCGUCAGCUCGUGUCGUGAGAUGUUGGGUUAAGUCCCGCAACGAGCGCAACCCUUGUCAUUAGUUGCUACGAAAGGGCACUCUAAUGAGACUGCCGGUGACAAACCGGAGGAAGGUGGGGAUGACGUCAAGUCCUCAUGGCCCUUAUGGGUAGGGCUUCACACGUCAUACAAUGGUCGGGACAGAGGGUCGCCAACCCGCGAGGGGGAGCCAAUCCCAGAAACCCGAUCGUAGUCCGGAUCGCAGUCUGCAACUCGACUGCGUGAAGUCGGAAUCGCUAGUAAUCGCGGAUCAGCAUGUCGCG
rnacentral:rRNA from 1 species